rnacentral:rRNA from 1 species
AUGAGGACGAAGAUGGCGGCGACGCUGGUCCGGGCCUCCGGGGGGAUCGGACCUCCUACGCCUGCCCGAUCCUCCUACUUCUCCUCGCACUGCUCCUUGCUGUCCCCGCUCGCGGCCAUCUCCAACGCCUCCUCCCACGCCUACGCCUUCGCGGGCCGUCAGCCGGUGCCCGCCCCGGAUCCCACCUUCUUCGAUGAUGUCAUCGACGCCAUCGUCGACAAGUACGGCUGGGACCCCGACGCAGAGGUCCGGGUUUGGCCGCUCGACGCCGAGGGCGCGCUCGUCGACGCCGUGCAGUGCUACGAGUUCCCCGCCCGCAUGGGGCCCCGCAGUCGUGCUGGCGCGGGCCUCCGACGGGGCCGUCGAUUGGAGCCGCCCCGACGCCCCCGCGGUGGAGGAGGUGGUCGGGCCUGA